rnacentral:rRNA from 1 species
ACCCGCUGAACUUAAGCAUAUCAAUAAGCGGAGGAAAAGAAACUAACAAGGAUUCCCCUAGUAACGGCGAGUGAAGCGGGAAAAGCUCAAAUUUGAAAUCUGGCAGCCUCAGGUUGCCCGAGUUGUAAUCUAUAGAAACGUUUUCCGCGUUGGCCCAUGUACAAGUCUCCUGGAAUGGAGCGUCAUAGAGGGUGAGAAUCCCGUCCUUGACAUGGACUACCAGUGCUUUGUGAUACGUUUUCAAAGAGUCGAGUUGUUUGGGAAUGCAGCUCAAAAUGGGUGGUAAAUUCCAUCUAAAGCUAAAUAUUGGCGAGAGACCGAUAGCGAACAAGUACCGUGAGGGAAAGAUGAAAAGCACUUUGGAAAGAGAGUUAAACAGUAUGUGAAAUUGUUGAAAGGGAAACGAUUGAAGUCAGUCAUGUCUAUUGGACUCAGCCGGUUCUGCCGGUGUACUUCCUUUAGAUGGGGUCAACAUCAGUUUUGAUCGCUGGAAAAGGGCAGGAGGAAUGUAGCACUCUCGGGUGAACUUAUAGCCUUCUGUCGUAUACAGUGGUUGGGACUGAGGAACGCAGCAUGCCUUUAUGGCCGGGGUUCACCCACGUACAUGCUUAGGAUGUUGACAUAAUGGCUUUAAACGACCCGUCUUGAAACACGG